GGGCCUAUAGCUCAGCUGGUAGAGCGGCCGGCUCAUAACCGGUUGGUCCCUGGUUCGAACCCGGGUGGGCCCACCA
rnacentral:tRNA from 4 species